GGAAGGAAUUAUCGCCAUAGGUGUAUGAACCACCGACGCGAUCCUGCAGUGGGGGAGAGAGAUUGCGCUCAGCCGCAUACACAGCGAGGAAAACUUGCUCCCUACAGAGC